CCUACGGGAGGCAGCAGUAGGGAAUAUUGCUCAAUGGGCGAAACCCUGAAGCAGCAACGCCGCGUGGAGGAUGAAGGUCUUAGGAUUGUAAACUCCUUUUGUGAGGGAAGCUAAUGACGGUAUCUCACCAAUAACCACCGUCUAACUCCGUUCCAGCAGCCGCGGUAAGACGGCGGGUGCCAGCGUUACUCGGACUCACGGGGCGUAAAGAGGGCGAAGGCGGGUGUGUAAGUCAGAUGUGAAAUCCUGUAGCUUAACCACAGAAGUGCAUUGUAAACUACGAGUCUAGAGUGUGGGAGAGGUAGGUGGAAUUCGUGGUGUAGGGGUGAAAUGCGUAGAUAUCAAGAGGAAGACCGAUUGCGAAGGCGACCUACUGGAACAUUACUGACGCUCAGGCACGAAAGCGUGGGUAGCAAACAGGAUUAGAUACCCCUGUAGUC
rnacentral:rRNA from 1 species